AUUGAACGCUGGCGGCAGGCCUAACACAUGCAAGUCGGACGGUAGCACAGAGGAGCUUGCUCCUUGGGUGACGAGUGGCGGACGGGUGAGUAAUGUCUGGGGAUCUGCCCGAUAGAGGGGGAUAACCACUGGAAACGGUGGCUAAUACCGCAUAACGUCGCAAGACCAAAGAGGGGGGACCUUCGGGCCUCACACCAUCGGAUGUGCCCAGAUGGGAUUAGCUAGUAGGUGGGGUAAUGGCUCACAUAGGCGACGAUCCCUAGCUGGUCUGAGAGGAUGACCAGCCACACUGGAACUGAGACACGGUCCAGACUCCUACGGGAGGCAGCAGUGGGGAAUAUUGCACAAUGGGCGCAAGCCUGAUGCAGCCAUGCCGCGUGUAUGAAGAAGGCCUUCGGGUUGUAAAGUACUUUCAGCGGGGAGGAAGGCGGUGAGGUUAAUAACCUUGCCGAUUGACGUUACCCGCAGAAGAAGCACCGGCUAACUCCGUGCCAGCCGCCGCCGUAA
rnacentral:rRNA from 1 species